UACGAAGGGGGCUAGCGUUGCUCGGAAUCACUGGGCGUAAAGCGCACGUAGGCGGACUUUUAAGUCGGAGGUGAAAUCCUGGAGCUCAACUCCAGAACUGCCUUCGAUACUGAGAGUCUUCGAGUUCGGGAGAGGUGAGUGGAACUGCGAGUGUAGAGGUGAAAUUCGUAGAUAUUCGCAAGAACACCAGUGGCGAAGGCGGCUCACUGGCCCGAUACUGACGCUGAGGCACGAAAGCGUGGGGAGCGAACAGG
rnacentral:rRNA from 1 species